ACCAGACGUCCAAAUCCCAGCCUCUGCACCGAUCAGUAUCACCCUCUCAUCCCCAUCCUGCUCCCGACAUGGACAUCACCUGUUCUGCCAGUCCGGUGCGGGGCCUUCCUCCUCUUGGUGACAACAUUGCAGCUGGCCUUUGAAGAACCAUUUCCUUACUUGCCAACAUGUGGUUCUGAAAUACACCCACAGUGGUUGGCCUGGGUGGACUGCUAUCACGGACGAACACAUCUGCAGGCUGAGCUUACUCCUCCCUCACACCUGGCGUCUGGAGCGGGGAGAUGGCUGCUGCUUCAGAAUCUGGACACGCACAGCUGUGGGGUGGCACAGCCAAGGGCUGGCUUGCUGUUGCCUCUGGGGUGCCGAGCAUCCCCAGCCUCACCCCAAAUACACACGGCCCUGCAGCCCAUUUCUGCUGAGAUGAGAGGCUUAACGUCAGCCGUCUGUGACCAUCAUAGCCUGGACUUUAAGUCACAUGUCAGAAAUGGACCCAAAAGGGGGCAUCUGUGGGGAGGAAUGAACACACCUGCCCUGGUUUGGAGCCAGAGAGCCUUCCUGCCCACCUACGUGCCUCAGUUUCCCUAUCUGAAUCAUCUACCUAAAAACAACAUUGUGCUCUCAGAAUAAAAGCUUUGGAAAGGUCUGAAAAAUAUAAAGACAAAAUCAGCUACAAGUUUCCCAUUAACAUCUUGCUGUUUUCAUUUAUCUUUUAUGUAACCAAAUACAAUUUUGCAUCUUGUUUUUAAACAGUAACCUUUCCUUAUUGUAAAUGUAAUAGGUGUUCAUUAUGUUGCGCUCAGAAAUUUCAGACACAACCUAUUAUUAUUAAUCUAUGCCAUGAAGCCAUGUGAGUACUACCAAUAUAAUAAAACAAUGUUAAUUUGUUUAUUAGGGGUGCCUGGGUGGCUCAGGUCAAGAUCCGGUAGUCCUCGGAUUGAGCCCCGUGUCAGGCUCCCUCUGCCUCUGCUCCUCUCCCCUGCUCAUCCUCUCUCUCUCUUCCCCCAAAUAAUAAAUAAUUUUUUAAAAAUCUGCUUAUUUAAAAAAAAAGCAAUUCAAAUCACAAGAAAAGUGGCUUUUUGUUGUUCCAUUGAGAAAUAAUGUUAAUAUGUUGAUUGGUAUCUUUUCAGUCUUUCCUUUGUGUUCAGUUAGCCACUGUAUAGUACAUUGUUAGUUUUUGACAUAGUAUUCAAUUAGUUACGUAUAACACCCAGUCUUUUCAGUCUUUAACAAGCAUAACAUACCAAAAGGUAAAAAAAAAAGCAUAGUAGAUUCAUACUUUACAUGCUUUUUUGUAACUUUCUUUUUCCACUUCAUUCAGCAUGAAUCAUUUUUAUGUCAUUAAAUUCUCUUUUUCAUUUAUGAUGAUAGAACAUAACAAGUAUGCCAAAUUUUAUUUAACCAAUUUUCUACUGUUAGCCCUUUGUUUUGGUUCUAAUUUCUCCUCAUCAUGAAUGGGACUAUUUGUAGCUGAAUUUUUGCACUCCCCUGUUCUGUGUUAACACCUCCAAAUUCCCAGCGCCAUCACAGAUUAUGGCAAGAUUGUACCUGAUAAAUGGUACGAAAAUGCUUUGAGAAAUACGCGUGUUGUGGGGCACCUGGGUGGCUCAGUGGAUUAAGCCUCUGCCUUCAGCUCAGGUCAUGAUCUCAGGGUCCUGGGAUUGAGCCCCACAUUGGGCUCUCUGCUCAGCAGGGAUCCUACUUCCUCCUCUCUCUCUGCCUGCCUCUCUGCCUACUUGUGAUCUCUGUCAAAUAAAUAAAUAAAAUCUUUUUUUUUUAAUAAAUAAAAUCUUAAAAAAAAAAAAAAAGAAAUACGCGUGUCGCUGCGCAGAUGUGAUGGGGUUAUUGCUGUCAUCGGUGAAUUCAGGGAGGCGGUGGCGC
ensembl:lincRNA